rnacentral:rRNA from 1 species
UACGUAGGGCGCAAGCGUUGUCCGGAAUUAUUGGGCGUAAAGAGCUCGUAGGCGGUCUGUCGCGUCCGCUGUGAAAUCCCGGGGCUCAACCCCGGGCCUGCAGUGGAUACGGGCUGGCUGGAGGCAGGCAGGGGAGAACGGAAUUCCUGGUGUAGCGGUGAAAUGCGCAGAUAUCAGGAGGAACACCGGUGGCGAAGGCGGUUCUCUGGGCCUGUUCUGACGCUGAGGAGCGAAAGCGUGGGGAGCGAACAGG